CAAAAACUCGCAGUGGAAGUCCAAAUGGACGGAAACUGUUAAUUUGACCGUUAGUUGACCAAAAAUGUCAAAGUUUGAUCAAUUUUGACCAAAUUAAAAAGGGCAAAAUGGUAACUAUACAAUUUUCUCACAUUAAAGAAUUAAAAUAUUAAAUCAAAAAAUAAAAAUAAAAAUAAAAAAUCCUACAAGCUACAGUGAUUCUAAUUCAAACUCACACCUAACCUAAAACCACCACUACCGUCGUCCACCACCUCCACCACCAUCACUACGAUGACUGCCACCACCACCACCAAAUCUACAGCCACCAUCUUCACUACCAAAUAGAACCCAAACGAAAAAUCACAUUCGAAUCCAAAAUUUCAUCUCCCCAUUCACUGCAAUCGUUGCUGCUUCACUCCGAACUCAAACCCAAAAUCCUCAUUUUCAAACGCGGUUGAUGGACCUUCGGCACGACCAGUGACGUCAAAGCUCAAUUGCAGUGCCCCUUCGACAAUCUCAGAGCUUAAUUACAUCGUUGUGAAAACUCGACUCCCAUUCCCAUUCCACAGCCAGCAGCAUCGCCAGAGAUCUGAGCAAAAGAUAACAAAAAAAUGGAACUCAACAAUGAUUCUUGGUGCUAAAGAUGAGUAUUCAUGUAUGAGAUUUGAAGUAGAAAAAUGGGCAUAGCAUUGUGCACACCGAAUCUUCAUCUCCUUCUCCUAAUUUGAUAUUUUUCUCUUUAGGGCUCUUGAUUAAACUUAGGUGUGGAAGACUAUAGCAAGGUAGACAAAUGUGGGUGGUGCUUCUGUGGAUGGUUUGGUGGUGUGUGGUGGCUAAAUGCGGUCUGUGCCCAGAGUCGGUGGACUGUGUGGCUAGGGUUGGUGUUGUUAUUGCUGAAUGUGGUUAGGUGAGG
rnacentral:lncRNA from 1 species